GGCUGAUCUGAAUGCAGCAGUGCCUCCAACUAAUUGAUCACAGCCAGUUACAGAUUCCUGCAUUGCUUCUCCACUCCCACUGCUGCACUUACUAGCCUAAA
rnacentral:Y_RNA from 1 species